UCUAAUAUGGCAGAUUAGUGCAAUGGAUUUAAACCCCAGAUAUAAAGAUUAAACUUUUUUUAGAAA
rnacentral:tRNA from 1 species